UACGAAGGGGGCGAGCGUUGUUCGGAUUUACUGGGCGUAAAGGGCGCGUAGGCGGCUUAUCAAGUCAGGCGUGAAAUUCCCGGGCUCAACCUGGGGGCUGCGCUUGAUACUGAUUGGCUUGAAUGCGGGAGAGGAUAGUGGAAUUCCCAGUGUAGAGGUGAAAUUCGUAGAUAUUGGGAAGAACACCGGUGGCGAAGGCGGCUAUCUGGCCCGUAAUUGACGCUGAGGCGCGAAAGCGUGGGGAGCAAACAGG
rnacentral:rRNA from 1 species